ACUUUGUCCCUUGUAAUCGGUUUGCUUUUAUCGCGUUCGAUAAAGCAAUGAAAAGGGAAUCGGGUGUAAAUCCCGGACAGACCCGCUGCUGUGUAGUUCGAUAGAUUUUAGACAAACAACUACAAUGCCACUAAUCCAAUGUGAUUGGGAAGGCGUCUAAAAUAGAACAAGUCAGAAGACCUGCCGGUUACAUAAUAAAAUUU
rnacentral:ncRNA from 19 species